rnacentral:rRNA from 1 species
GGUUAAGCGACUAAGCGUACACGGUGGAUGCCCUGGCAGUCAGAGGCGAUGAAGGACGUGCUAAUCUGCGAUAAGCGUCGGUAAGGUGAUAUGAACCGUUAUAACCGGCGAUUUCCGAAUGGGGAAACCCAGUGUGAUUCGUCACACUAUCAUUAACUGAAUCCAUAGGUUAAUGAGGCGAACCGGGGGAACUGAAACAUCUAAGUACCCCGAGGAAAAGAAAUCAACCGAGAUUCCCCCAGUAGCGGCGAGCGAACGGGGAGGAGCCCAGAGCCUGAAUCAGUGUGUGUGUUAGUGGAAGCGUCUGGAAAGGCGCGCGAUACAGGGUGACAGCCCCGUACACAAAAAUGCACAUACUGUGAGCUCGAUGAGUAGGGCGGGACACGUGGUAUCCUGUCUGAAUAUGGGGGGACCAUCCUCCAAGGCUAAAUACUCCUGACUGACCGAUAGUGAACCAGUACCGUGAGGGAAAGGCGAAAAGAACCCCGGCGAGGGGAGUGAAAAAGAACCUGAAACCGUGUACGUACAAGCAGUGGGAGCACAGAGCAAUCUGUGUGACUGCGUACCUUUUGUAUAAUGGGUCAGCGACUUAUAUUCUGUAGCAAGGUUAACCGAAUAGGGGAGCCGAAGGGAAACCGAGUCUUAACCGGGCGUUAAGUUGCAGGGUAUAGACCCGAAACCCGGUGAUCUAGCCAUGGGCAGGUUGAAGGUUGGGUAACACUAACUGGAGGACCGAACCGACUAAUGUUGAAAAAUUAGCGGAUGACUUGUGGCUGGGGGUGAAAGGCCAAUCAAACCGGGAGAUAGCUGGUUCUCCCCGAAAGCUAUUUAGGUAGCGCCUCGUGAAUUCAUCUCCGGGGGUAGAGCACUGUUUCGGCAAGGGGGUCAUCCCGACUUACCAACCCGAUGCAAACUGCGAAUACCGGAGAAUGUUAUCACGGGAGACACACGGCGGGUGCUAACGUCCGUCGUGAAGAGGGAAACAACCCAGACCGCCAGCUAAGGUCCCAAAGUCAUGGUUAAGUGGGAAACGAUGUGGGAAGGCCCAGACAGCCAGGAUGUUGGCUUAGAAGCAGCCAUCAUUUAAAGAAAGCGUAAUAGCUCACUGGUCGAGUCGGCCUGCGCGGAAGAUGUAACGGGGCUAAACCAUGCACCGAAGCUGCGGCAGCGACACUGUGUGUUGUUGGGUAGGGGAGCGUUCUGUAAGCCUGUGAAGGUGUACUGUGAGGUAUGCUGGAGGUAUCAGAAGUGCGAAUGCUGACAUAAGUAACGAUAAAGCGGGUGAAAAGCCCGCUCGCCGGAAGACCAAGGGUUCCUGUCCAACGUUAAUCGGGGCAGGGUGAGUCGACCCCUAAGGCGAGGCCGAAAGGCGUAGUCGAUGGGAAACAGGUUAAUAUUCCUGUACUUGGUGUUACUGCGAAGGGGGGACGGAGAAGGCUAUGUUGGCCGGGCGACGGUUGUCCCGGUUUAAGCGUGUAGGCUGGUUUUCCAGGCAAAUCCGGAAAAUCAAGGCUGAGGCGUGAUGACGAGGCACUACGGUGCUGAAGCAACAAAUGCCCUGCUUCCAGGAAAAGCCUCUAAGCAUCAGGUAACAUCAAAUCGUACCCCAAACCGACACAGGUGGUCAGGUAGAGAAUACCAAGGCGCUUGAGAGAACUCGGGUGAAGGAACUAGGCAAAAUGGUGCCGUAACUUCGGGAGAAGGCACGCUGAUAUGUAGGUGAAGUCCCUCGCGGAUGGAGCUGAAAUCAGUCGAAGAUACCAGCUGGCUGCAACUGUUUAUUAAAAACACAGCACUGUGCAAACACGAAAGUGGACGUAUACGGUGUGACGCCUGCCCGGUGCCGGAAGGUUAAUUGAUGGGGUCAGCGCAAGCGAAGCUCUUGAUCGAAGCCCCGGUAAACGGCGGCCGUAACUAUAACGGUCCUAAGGUAGCGAAAUUCCUUGUCGGGUAAGUUCCGACCUGCACGAAUGGCGUAAUGAUGGCCAGGCUGUCUCCACCCGAGACUCAGUGAAAUUGAACUCGCUGUGAAGAUGCAGUGUACCCGCGGCAAGACGGAAAGACCCCGUGAACCUUUACUAUAGCUUGACACUGAACAUUGAGCCUUGAUGUGUAGGAUAGGUGGGAGGCUUUGAAGUGUGGACGCCAGUCUGCAUGGAGCCGACCUUGAAAUACCACCCUUUAAUGUUUGAUGUUCUAACGUGGACCCGUGAUCCGGGUUGCGGACAGUGUCUGGUGGGUAGUUUGACUGGGGCGGUCUCCUCCUAAAGAGUAACGGAGGAGCACGAAGGUUGGCUAAUCCUGGUCGGACAUCAGGAGGUUAGUGCAAUGGCAUAAGCCAGCUUGACUGCGAGCGUGACGGCGCGAGCAGGUGCGAAAGCAGGUCAUAGUGAUCCGGUGGUUCUGAAUGGAAGGGCCAUCGCUCAACGGAUAAAAGGUACUCCGGGGAUAACAGGCUGAUACCGCCCAAGAGUUCAUAUCGACGGCGGUGUUUGGCACCUCGAUGUCGGCUCAUCACAUCCUGGGGCUGAAGUAGGUCCCAAGGGUAUGGCUGUUCGCCAUUUAAAGUGGUACGCGAGCUGGGUUUAGAACGUCGUGAGACAGUUCGGUCCCUAUCUGCCGUGGGCGCUGGAGAACUGAGGGGGGCUGCUCCUAGUACGAGAGGACCGGAGUGGACGCAUCACUGGUGUUCGGGUUGUCAUGCCAAUGGCACUGCCCGGUAGCUAAAUGCGGAAGAGAUAAGUGCUGAAAGCAUCUAAGCACGAAACUUGCCCCGAGAUGAGUUCUCCCUGACCCUUUAAGGGUCCUGAAGGAACGUUGAAGACGACGACGUUGAUAGGCCGGGUGUGUAAGCGCAGCGAUGCGUUGAGCUAACCGGUACUAAUGAACCGUGAGGCUUAACCUU